rnacentral:rRNA from 1 species
GAUGAACGCUGGCGGCGUGCCUAAUACAUGCAAGUCGAGCGAACAGACGAGGAGCUUGCUCCUCUGACGUUAGCGGCGGACGGGUGAGUAACACGUGUAUAACCUACCUAUAAGACUGGGAUCACUUCGGGAAACCGGAGCUAAUACCGGAUAAUAUAUUGAACCGCAUGGUUCAAUAGUGAAAGACGGUUUUGCUGGCACUUAUAGAUGGAUCCGAGCCGCAUUAGCUAGUUGGUAAGGUAACGGCUUACCAAGGCGACGAUGCGUAGCCGACCUGAGAGGGUGAUCGGCCACACUGGAACUGAGACACGGUCCAGACUCCUACGGGAGGCAGCAGUAGGGAAUCUUCCGCAAUGGGCGAAAGCCUGACGGAGCAACGCCGCGUGAGUGAUGAAGGUCUUCGGAUCGUAAAACUCUGUUAUUAGGGAAGAACAAAUGUGUAAGUAACUAUGCACGUCUUGACGGUACCUAAUCAGAAAGCCACGGCUAACUACGUG